AGUCCAUCCCUGCUCCCUAGAAGUGCUUCCUCAUUGGCUCUUCACUGGGUCUGAAGACACAGAGAGAAGGCCUAGGUCCCGCCCGGGGACCGAAGAGUUAGGGUUGGAAAGAGCUCGAUUGUUCAUGAGCCUCUUUUCUGGCAGUUCCGGAAUGGUCUUGUCCCUGGGUGGACUUCUAGGCAGCUCUCCUCAGGUCAUGAGUCCAGCACUGUUGGUCUCAGUCCUCUUCGCUGCCCUGCAAAGAGUCCAGAAAACCCUAGGCUGACCAUGGCAGAUGAGCCUUCCUUCAACAAUAACCAACAAUUCCAAACCGAGACACGCUUUUCUGAGUCCAUUCCCAGAUUGCAGCCUUGACUGAUGAGUGACACUUCCAGACUCUUCCAGCCCAACAACUCUUAGCACCAGGGAGUUUGGA